rnacentral:rRNA from 1 species
GACGAACGCCGGCGGCGUGCUCAACACAUGCAAGUCGAACGGUAAGGCCCUUCGGGGUACACGAGUGGCGAACGGGUGGAGUAACACGUGGGUGAUCUGCCCUGCACUUCGGGAUAAGCCUGGGAAACUGGGUCUAAUACCGGAUAGGACCAUGGACUUCACGGUUUGUGGUGGAAAGCUUUUGCGGUGUGGGAUGGGCCCGCGGCCUAUCAGCUUGUUGGUGGGGUAAUGGCCCUACCAAGGCGACGACGGGUAGCCGGCCUGAGAGGGUGUCCGGCCACACUGGGACUGAGAUACGGCCCAGACUCCUACGGGAGGCAGCAGUGGGGAAUAUUGCACAAUGGGCGCAAGCCUGAUGCAGCGACGCCGCGUGAGGGAUGACGGCCUCGGUU